rnacentral:rRNA from 1 species
AUUAAACGCUGGCGGCAGGCCUAACACAUGCAAGUCGAGCGCGAAAGGCUUUCGGGCUGAGUAGAGCGGCGGACGGGUGAGUAACGCGUAGGAAUCUACCUGGUAGUGGGGGACAACUUGGGGAAACUCAAGCUAAUACCGCAUACGCCCUAUGGGGGAAAGUGGGGGACCUUCGGGCCUCACGCUAUCAGAUGAGCCUGCGUAGGAUUAGCUAGUUGGUGAGGUAAAGGCUCACCAAGGCGACGAUCCUUAGCUGGUCUGAGAGGAUGAUCAGCCACACUGGGACUGAGACACGGCCCAGACUCCUACGGGAGGCAGCAGUGGGGAAUAUUGCGCAAUGGGGGCAACCCUGACGCAGCCAUGCCGCGUGUGUGAAGAAGGCCU